rnacentral:rRNA from 1 species
UACGUAGGGUGCGAGCGUUAAUCGGAAUUACUGGGCGUAAAGCGUGCGCAGGCGGUUCUCCAAGUCCGUUGUGAAAGCCCCGGGCUCAACCUGGGAAUGGCAGUGGAAACUAGGGGACUGGAAUCUGGCAGAGGGGGGUGGAAUGCCGCGUGUAGCAGUGAAAUGCGUAGAGAUGCGGCGGAACACCGAUGGCGAAGGCAGCCCCCUGGGCCUGCACUGACGCUCAUGCACGAAAGCGUGGGGAGCAAACAGG